UACGAAGGGGGCUAGCGUUGUUCGGAAUCACUGGGCGUAAAGCGCACGCAGGCGGAUUGAUAAGUCAGGGGUGAAAUCCCGGAGCUCAACUUCGGAAUUGCCUUUGAUACUGUCUGUCUUGAGUCCGGGAGAGGUGAGUGGAAUUCCUAGUGUAGAGGUGAAAUUCGUAGAUAUUAGGAAGAACGCCAGUGGCGAAGGCGGCUCACUGGCCCGGUACUGACGCUCAUGUGCGAAAGCGUGGGGAGCAAACAGG
rnacentral:rRNA from 1 species